rnacentral:rRNA from 1 species
UACAGAGGUCUCAAGCGUUGUUCGGAUUCAUUGGGCGUAAAGGGUGCGUAGGCGGCGCGGUAAGUCGGGUGUGAAAUCUCGGAGCUUAACUCCGAAACUGCAUUCGAUACUGCCGUGCUUGAGGACUGGAGAGGAGACUGGAAUUUACGGUGUAGCAGUGAAAAUGCGUAGAGAUCGUAAGGAAGACCAGUGGCGAAGGCGGGUCUCUGGACAGUUCCUGACACUGAGGCACGAAGGCCAGGGGGAGCAAACGGG